CUAUUAUAUGUAAUUUACAGCACUUGUCACACUGCUGCAGGGGUGAUUUAAAGAGGGGGAAAAGAGGACUUAAAAGUACUGCAUAAAACAACAGGAAAUCAAAGAAUGUUUCCUCCAGGAGUCCCAGGUAUUUGAUAUUUUUCUUGCCCAUGGACACUUAAUUUCACUACAUGAACCAGUAUAAUAAUAAAAGUGUCACAUAUCUUAUUAAUGCAAACAAAUGGAAACAGGUUUCCAGAGCAUGAACACCACUGCCUAAGUAUGUGGGAAAAGGAAGAAAAGCAAUGUAAUGACAGCACAAUUACCAUCACUCACAAGAGCUAAGAUGAGGACUUCUUAUAGCAAUAAAAUACUUUUAAAAUGGCACCAAUGACAUUCCCCAAAGAAAAACAUAUUUUGUAAAGCCAGCUUUUAGUUAUAACAAACACAAACAUCGUUCUUUAUACAUACACACACAAGUAAGCCUCUCAUGGAGUUUAAUGGAAAUAUUGAUGCAAAUAUAGCCAUCAGGUGUUUAACUCAAAUGCACCACCUUCUCUCAACAAUGUGUGAGGAGGAAUGACAUUAUCUGCAUUUGUAAAACACAAUUUUCAUUUCAUUUUCCUAAGAGGAAAUAGAAACACACACAGGCGUUUUGGACCACUGGACUGGUUAUUUAUUUAUUUUACAUUUAUGAGCAAACACAGCUCCAGUGCUUUUAACCACUCUGGUAUAAGCAAAAAGCUCCAUGCGCAAGAUAUAAUUAUUUGCUUGUCAUCAUGAUGUAUGAGUUUCAAUCCGAGCUAAAUGGAAGAACUGUAUAAGGAAGCCACAGCGAGCUUACCUGCACCGAUCACACGUUCUAUUUUAAUACAGGAGGCAUCUAACUCCUUGGCGAAUUGAUGGACAGCCCUAUUUGGAUCCUCGUAGGUUUCAGGGUCAAUGUAGGUUUUGGUGCCUGGAAAUUUAACUGUAAUGAUGUAAGAAAGCAUGACUGUGAUGAAGCAAAGCACUUAUUGUGCAGUCAAUCCCGGAAUUUCAUUAAGCAGAGCGCACCCUAGAACAAAAUAAAAAAAUUCCUUCCAGUAGCACCUUAGAGACCAACUAAGUUUGUCAUUGGUAUGAGCUUUCGUGUGCAUGCAGACUUCUUCAGAUACCCUAAAACAGUGAGGCUCCUGUUGAGCCAGCUAGGUAAGGCAAACAGGUUUUUCUCAGGAAACACCUCCCCAUUCCUUACAUUUGUGGUCAUCAAGCAACUUUGCAGGAUAACCCAUCUGAGAUGGGGUGAAAGGUGAAAACCCAAUUCUUUCUUCCCCAGUAGAACCCGCAGGCUCUGCUGCCACAGUCACUAUUCACUCCAUUAACUGUGGACUGGCAACUGGGAUAGCCAAAAGAUUGUACGGAUUUGGCCCUGAGAGCUCUAGUUGCUGAUCCCUACCUUACACUUACAUUGUCUUGAGUGAAUGGAGUAAAUGUUUCUAACAAGUUCAUUGUUUUGAGUAUCUGUCUUUUAUCCACAUCCUGUGUUCUGAAAAAAUAUAUACUGAGACCUCCACCCAACUGAAUCUUCCUGCAGAGAGGUAAGUGUCUUGCCAGAGGGGCACUGGGAUACCUCUGUGCCUUCUCACAACCUCUUUUCAUGCUGCUGGUGUUGGCCUGCUUUUGGUAGGCUUGCCAAGCAAGAGGUGGAAGAUACUGAAAGGGCAGAGAUCAGAAAGGUGACUAUUCUGAGAUGAAAUAUAACUGGUGCCAACCUCUAUUUCCCCCCUAACACUAAGUGUUAUCACAUUUUGACAGUCUUAUCUCUCUCUGACAUAUAAAUGACACGUCGUCUUGGGCUCUCUCUGGUUUCAUUUAUCCACAGGAUUCUGUUAUGUCUUCCCCAGCUGUGAGUGUACUGGCGAGUAGGAAAACGUGCAGAUCAGUAUUGUAGAAAAUGAAUGCAAGCUUCCCCACCCUUCAGAAUUUCACAUUGAUCUUCCCGAUCAAAUGUUGGAUAGCCAUAAAUUGCUGCUCUGAACUCCUUUGGGACAAAGGGUGAUAUAUAAAUUUAAUUAGUAAAUGAAUAAUAUAGGGCAAGUGGUGUGUUUACGUUGUUUCUUUGGGACACAGUUACACCUGUCGUUUGAGCACACUGGUUUGUUUGUUGUUGGUGGUGGUGGUGGUAGGGAGGUUAAGGGAUGAAAUACAAGAAGCAGAAUGCUCUUGUAUUUGGCCUAAUCACCAAGAUAUGGGGCUGAGAAAAGAAGUUUUCAGACACAGAUUCCAUCAAUUUUGAGAAAGGUCUUCCAUGAACUAGUCAUGGGUGACAUAUUCAGCAGGGAUCACAUGUUUCAAACUGCAGAAGCGAAGUUAUUAAAAAUGAUGCCAUGGGGAAAGAAUGCUAGUGAUGUGGAGGUCAUCCACAGAGCUGAAUAGCCAUACUGAGGAUCUGCAAGAAAUUAUUCCACAUCUUCCCCAGAGGUUACUUUUGCUGCACUGUAUUUUUCAAUAGGUUUAGUGCUAAUCAUAAUAAUAAUGGCUCAGCUUCUGCAGCUGAUAAGGGCUCAUUUUUUAUUUACGUCCCCAACCAGAAGGGAAAGAGAGCAGAAAACAAUAGGUUAACUGCCUAUAUUGUGCUCUCAAGCAAGCAGAUGGAGAAUGAGCCAUCUUCUUGUGCUUGCGAUAAGGAGCCUGGAUUGGAGGUAACCUUGUGAAUCAUAAAUGGGUCUCUGAUGGUACUUUAUUCAAGCUGUCAUAAAACAUUUUGACAGGCCAACGCUUUCUUGGCAUACCAACGUGAAAUAGUGCUCCCUCAGAAUCAAAGACAUUGUUAAAAGAAAAUGGUAGGAGGAAACAAAAUGUAAAUUGCAAUUGGUUGACUAAACUCUUCCAUUGUGUUAUACCUUUAAAAACGUAACACUUGGGAUCAUUCAAAGUUGAGGGGAAUUGAAUGGGAAGACUGGACAUUCUAUUAAAUUCACUGAUCUGAAAGCUAGUUAAAAGGAUUGCUGUUUCAGGUUACUGUGAAAAUCCAGUCUGAUGUUUUAGCAUAUAAGAAAAUUGUCUGUAUACCACAGGAACAAAAGGAUGCAAAAUUGGAAAUCAUUGGUGACUUCAACACCGUGCUUUGUUUCUCCCCAGAAACAAUGAUCAUAUCAAAUUAAAUACUAUGCUUUUUAUCAAAAGGCUCUAAAAAUGUAGUCGAGUAAAGAUGAAAAUCAUAAGACUUUGGGGUUGGCUUCAUGGUUGGUUAUCUUUUCUGACAGACUGUAAGCUUCCCUAGAUAUUGGAUAACUAGAUUUCUUGAAAGGAAUACAAGGAAGGAAUGAAGUGUUAUUUUCAAUUUCAGUUUCUGACUAUUAAGACUAGGCUGUUAACCUAUUUACAUUUUCUUUCCCUAAAACAUAUCAUCUAAAAAUAGUGCAUGGUGGGGAAAACCAUUCUCCAGCUAGCACUUGCACUUUCCCUACAGACACAUGUAAAGGGAAAAAAAUGCUUGAUUUCAUUUCUUUCUCAGACAUCACUCGGUAGGGAAUACUGAAAAGACCUUAAAGUAUUUUAAGGAUAUGAAGAGCCUCACUACAACUAAAAUAGGAUGGUGUUACUAAGAUUCUAUCCUUCAGAGGAACUUCAUUUCAAAGAAAGCAUCAGAAAGCGCUGUGGGAACUGAUGGAUGACCCAAAAGAAAACAAAAGUACGUUGAAACUUUGGUGCGUAUUUCAAAAUUAUUCUCCUCUCCUAAAUGUAUGCUAUAAUUCUUCAAUCAAUUACACAUUCUGAUUGCAGAACAAUGUAAUUAAUCAACAACUAGUUUUUAUAUGCGGACUAUCAUUUGGGAUCUGAUCAUACUUGAAAUAUUGUUAUGGGAGGAAAACCUCUAUUGAGCAGACAGAGGUGACUACAAGAUGUUUCUGCUGAAAUGUAAGUGAUGUUAUCAACAGAGAUCAACUUUAAGAGGAUCUAGGCAGCUCUGAGUUCACUAGGCAUAGCAGCUGGAGAGCAAGUAUGAUACUACAAACAACUAUUUCUGAUCCUCUUCUAUGUAAUGCUGAUUUUACCAGGGUUUUUU